rnacentral:rRNA from 1 species
CGCGUAGGCGGAUUAUUGAGUCAGAUGUGAAAGGCCAGGGCUUAACCUUGGAAUUGCAUUUGAUACUGAUAGUCUAGAGUGGAGUAGAGGUAAGCGGAAUUCCCGGUGUAGCGGUGAAAUGCGUAGAUAUCGGGAGGAACAUCAGUGGCGAAGGCGGCUUACUGGACUCACACUGACGCUGAGGCGCGAAAGCGUGGGUAGCGAACA